GACAGCAGUCGCCGCGGUAAUACGUAGGUGGCAAGCGUUGUCCGGAAUUAUUGGGCGUAAAGGGCUCGUAGGCGGUUUCUUAAGUCUGAUGUGAAAGCCCCCGGCUCAACCGGGGAGGGUCAUUGGAAGCUGGGAAACUUGAGUGCAGAAGAGGAGAGUGGAAUUCCACGUGUAGCGGUGAAAUGCGUAGAGAUGUGGAGGAACACCAGUGGCGAAGGCGACUCUCUGGUCUGUAACUGACGCUGAGGAGCGAAAGCGUGGGGAGCGAACAGGAUUAGAUACCCCCGUAGUCCCUGUCUCUUAUAC
rnacentral:rRNA from 1 species